rnacentral:rRNA from 1 species
UACGUAGGGGGCUAGCGUUGUCCGGAAUCAUUGGGCGUAAAGCGCGUGUAGGCGGUUCGGUAAGUCCGCUGUGAAAGUCGGGGGCUCAACCCUCGGAAGCCGGUGGAUACUGUCGGACUAGAGUCCGGAAGAGGCAAGUGGAAUUCCCGGUGUAGCGGUGAAAUGCACAGAUAUCGGGAGGAACACCAAUGGCGAAGGCAGCUUGCUGGGACGGUACUGACGCUGAGGCGCGAAAGCGUGGGGAGCAAACAGG